rnacentral:tRNA from 1 species
CCCAGCGUAGCUCUGCUGGAAAGCAGCNNUAGAGCACUACACUGAUAAUGUAGAGGUCGGAAGUUCGAGUCUUCCCGCACCCACCA